UACAGAGACUGCAAGCGUUAUUCGGAUUCACUGGGCGUAAAGGGUGCGUAGGCGGCCGGGUGUGUCAGAUGUGAAAUCCCGAGGCUUAACCUCGGAACUGCGUCUGAAACUACUCGGCUAGAGUACUGGAGAGGGUAACGGAAUUCACGGUGUAGCAGUGAAAUGCGUAGAUAUCGUGAGGAACACCAGAGGCGAAGGCGGUUACCUGGACAGUUACUGACGCUCAGGCACGAAAGCAUGGGGAGCAAAAGGG
rnacentral:rRNA from 1 species